GAUGAAGAACGUAGCGAAAUGCGAUAAGUAAUGCGAAUUGCAGAAUUUCCGUGAGUCAUCGAAUCUUUGAACGCACAUUGCGCCCACUGGUAUUCCGGUGGGCAUGCCUGUUCGAGCGUCAUUAUCCCCCCUCAAACCCCGUGUUUGGUGUUAGACCCAAGUUGUGUGAACAACUGGUCUCAAAGACAAUGACGGCGUCCGUGGGACCCUCGGUGCAACGAGCUUUUAGGAGCACGCGCUGAAUUUCAAGGACCCUCCGGGCCGGUCUCCUAUUUAUCAUCAAGGUUGACCUCGGAUCAGGUAGGAAUACCCGCUGAACUUAAGCAUAUCAAUAAGCGGAGGA
rnacentral:misc_RNA from 1 species